ACGGGCCAGAAAUGGUCAACUCUUUGGACACUCGUAAACAGGUGGUGCAUGGUUGUCGUCAGCUCGUGUCGUGAGAUGUUGGGUUAAGUCCCGCAACGAGCGCAACCCUCGUUCUAUGUUGCCAGCACGUAAUGGUGGGAACUCAUGGGAUACUGCCGGGGUCAACUCGGAGGAAGGUGGGGAUGACGUCAAAUCAUCAUGCCCCUUAUGUCUUGGGCUUCACGCAUGCUACAAUGGCCGGUACAAAGGGCUGCAAUACCGCGAGGUGGAGCGAAUCCCAAAAAGCCGGUCCCAGUUCGGAUUGAGGUCUGCAACUCGACCUCAUGAAGUCGGAGUCGCUAGUAAUCGCAGAUCAGCAACGCUGCGGUGAAUACGUUCCCGGGUCUUGUACACACCG
rnacentral:rRNA from 1 species